rnacentral:rRNA from 1 species
CAGUAGCCACGGUAAUACAGAGGAUGCAAGCGUUGUCCGGAAUUAUUGGGCGUAAAGGGCUCGCAGGCGGUUUCUUAAGUCUGAUGUGAAAGCCCCCGGCUCAACCGGGGAGGGUCAUUGGAAACUGGGAAACUUGAGUGCAGAAGAGGAGAGUGGAAUUCCACAUGUAGCGGUGAAAUGCGUAGAGAUGUGGAGGAACACCAGUGGCGAAGGCGACUCUCUGGUCUGUAACUGACGCUGAGGAGCGAAAGCGUGGGGAGCGAACAGGAUUAGAUACCCGGGUAGUCCCUGUCUCUUAUAC